rnacentral:rRNA from 1 species
UAAUCUUGCGACCGUACUCCCCAGGCGGAAUGCUUAAUCCGUUAGGUGUGUCACCGAAUAGCAUGCUACCCGACGACUGGCAUUCAUCGUUUACGGUGUGGACUACCAGGGUAUCUAAUCCGUUUGCUCCCCACACUUUCGCACCUCAGCGUCAGUAUCGAGCCAGUGAGCCGCCUUCGCCACUGGUGUUCCUCCGAAUAUCUACGAAUUUCACCUCUACACUCGGAAUUCCACUCACCUCUCUCGAACUCUAGACUAGCAGUAUCAAAGGCAGUUCCGGGGUUGAGCCCCGGGAUUUCACCCCUGACUGACUAGUCCGCCUACGCGCGCUUUACGCCCAGUAAUUCCGAACAACGCUAACCCCCUCCGUAUUACCGCGGCUGCUGGCACGGAGUUAGCCGGUGCUUCCUCAAGAGGUACCGUCAGAGCGGGCCAUACCCGCUGGUUCUUCACUCUCAACAGAGCUUUACACUGCAGAGCAGCGUCAUCGCUCACGCGGCGUUGCUGGAUCAGGGUUGCCCCCAUUGUCCAAUAUUCCUCC